UCUGUCUUCACAGAGCCGUUCCCGUUACUCACAAUGAAAGUCUCCAAAAGCUUUGUGGCCACGGUUUGUGAUUAUUUCCAUACUGCUUGUUCUCGCUGCAGUGGUAGUUAUUCUUUUAGCCGUCUUUCUGACUAGAGAUGCUGGUCCGCAAACAUGGAAAAGUUACUACAGAGGAAAUUUCAGAAUAUUGAAUGUUCCCUACAACGAGAGCCUGGCAUCGAGCAACUCCACGGAGUUCUCUGAGUUGGCCGAUGACAUUCAGACACAACUGAACUUGGUGUAUUCAGAAUCAGAAUUGUCCAAGGAAUUCAGUCGUGGACAAGUUGUAGAAUUCAGGUACGUUCUUGACUUUUCACACCCAAUGCUCGUUAUGUUAAAGUUGUGAGGUUUUCAUAGAAUCAUGAUAUCAUCUUUACAGCUUAAUUUGUUCUGGUCACUGCCUGAUCACAACGUUUCUGGGUCUUCGACAGACAGGUGAUGACAGCACAGAAACUGGCCCUUCGGCCCAACUUAUCCAUACUGACCCAUUAGCCUGAGUUUGGCCCAUAUGCUGCUUGACCUUUCCCAUCUGUGUACCUGUCCAAAUACCCUUUAAACAUUGUCAUUGUAUCUACCUCAUAGCUUCCUCUGUCUCAUCCCAUAUACAACCACCCUCUGCACGAAGAAAUUGCCCCUCAGAUUUCUUUCAUAUCUCUCACCAAAAACUUAUGCUUUCUGCUUUUAGACCCCCUGACUGGUGGAAAAAACUGUGACCAUUCACCUUAUCUAGUCUGUGGAAUUCUCUGCCUCAGAGGGCGGUGGAGGCCGGUUCUCUGGAUGCUUUCAUGAGAGAGCUAGAUGGGGUUCUUAAAAAUAGCGGAGUCAGGGGAAAUGGGGAGAAGGCAGGAACGGGGUACUGAUUGGGGAUGAUCAGCCAUGAUCACAUUGAAUGGCGGUGCUCGGCUCGAAGGACAAAAUGGCCUACGCCUGCACCUAUUGUGUAUUGUCUAUUGUCUAUGACCCUCACAAUUAUAGUCACCCCUCAGUCUCGUACGUUCCAAAGACAAAAAUCCCAGCCCUUUCAGACGCAGCCUAUAAUUCAAGCCCUCCUUAUCCAGUAACAUCCUUAUUCAGUAACAUCCUCAGCACCCUUUCCAGCUGAAUGACAUCCUCCCCCCAAACACAACAUGUUCUCACCAACGAUAGACACAAAAUGCUGCAGUAACUCAACGGGACGGGCAGCAUCUCUGGAGAGAAGGAAUGGGUGACGUUUCGAGUCAAGACCCUUCUUCAUUGUGUUACUCCAGCAUUUUGUUUCUUUUUACCAGUUUAAACCAGCAUCUGCAGUUCUUUCCUACACAUGUUCUCACCAACUACAUGUAACAUGAUAUCUCAACUCCUAUAUUGAUGAAGAAAGACUCACUUCACAGCCCGAUCGUCCCGGGCACCACUUGGAGGGAACUGUGUAUCACCAGGUCCCUCUGCCCCACCACACUCCCUUGGCCUCUGUCAUUGGAUAUUCCCCUGCCCUGACUACACUGACCAUAUUGCACCAACCUACACUUGUCAGGGUUAAAUUCCAUCUGCCACUUGCAGUCAUAGAGUGAUACAUCGUGGAAACAGGCCCCUCAUCCCAAUUUGCCCACACCAACCAACAUGCCCCAUCUAUACUAGUUCCACCUGUCUGUGUUUGGUCCAUAUCCCUCUAACACUGUCCUAUCCAUGUACCUGUCUAAAUGUUUCUUAAAUGUUGUGAUAUUACAUGUCUCAACUACCUGCUCUGGCAGCUUGUUCCCUUCACCCACCACCCACUUUGUUAAAAAGCUGCCCCUCAUGUUUCUGUUAAACUUUCCUCUCCUCACUAUAAACCUAUGGCCUCUGGUUCUUGAUUCCCUAACUCUGGACAAAAGAUUCUAUAACAAUUACAGCACGGAAACAGGCCAUCUCGGCCCUACAAGUCCAUGCCGAACAUCUUUUUUCCCUUAGUCCCACCUGCCUGCACUCAUACCAUAACCCUCCAUUCCCUUCUCAUCCAUAUGCCUAUCCAAUUUAUUUUUAAAUGAUACCAACGAACCUGCCUCCACCACUUCCACUGGAAGCUCAUUCCACACCGCUACCACUCUCUGAGUAAAGAAGUUCCCUCUCAUGUUACCCCUAAACUUCUGUCCCUUAAUUCUGAAGUCAUGUCCUCUUGCUUGAAUCUUCCCUAUUAUCAAAGGGAAAAGCUGACCCACAUCAACUCUGUCUAUUCCUCUCAUCAUUUUAAAGGCCUCUAUCAAGUCCCCCCCUUAACCUUCUGCGCUCCAGAGAAUAAAGACCUAACCUAUUCAACCUUUCUAUGUAAUUUAGAUUUUGAAACCCAGGCACCAUUCUAGUAAAUCUCCUCUGUACUCUCUCUAUUUUGUUGACAUCCUUCCUAUAAUUGUGCGACCAAAGUUGUACACCAUACUCCAAAUUUGGUCUCACCAAUGCCUUGUACAAUUUUAACAUUACAUCCCUGCUUUUAUACUCAAUGCUCUGAUUUAUAAAGGCUAGCAUACCAAAAGCUUUCUUAACCACCCUAUCUAUAUGAGAUUCCACCUUCAAGGAACUAUACACGGUUAUUCCCAGAUCCCUCUGUUCAACUGUAUUCUUCAAUUCCCUACCAUUUACCAUGUACGUCUUAUUUUGAUUUGUCCUGCCAAGGUGUAGCACCUCACAUUUAUCAACAUUAAACACCAUCUGCCAUCUUUCAGCCCAUUCUUCCAAAUGCCUAAAUCACUCUGUAGACUUUGGAAAUCCUCGUCAUUAUCCACAACACCCCCUAUCUUGGUGUCAUCUGCAAACUUACUAAUCCAAUUUACCACACCUUCAUCCAGAUCAUUGAUGUACAUGACAAACAACAAAGGACUCAACACCGAUCCCUGAGGCACCCCACUAGUCACCUGCCUCCAACCCGACAAACAACCAUCCACCAUUACCCUCUGGCUUCUCCCAUUCAGCUACUGUUGAAUCCAUCUUGCUACUCCUGCAUUUAUACACAACAGUUGAACCUUCUUAACCAACCUUCCAUGAGGAACCUUGUCAAAGGCCUUACUAAAGUCCAUAUAGACAACAUCCACUGCUUUACCCUCGUCAAUUUCCCUAGUAACCUCUUCAAAAAAUUCAAGAAGAUUAGUCAAACAUGACCUUCCAGGCACAAAUCCAUGCUGACUGUUCCUAAUCAGACCCUGUUUAUCCAGAUGCUUAUAUAUAUUAUCUCUAAAUAUCUUUUCCAUUAAUUUGCCCACCACUGAAGUCAAACUAACAGGCCUAUAAUUGCUAGGUUUACUCUUAGAACCCUUUUUAAACAAUGGAACAACAUGCGCAGUAUGC